rnacentral:rRNA from 1 species
AGUGAACGCUGGCGGUAGGCCUAACACAUGCAAGUCGAACGGCAGCACAGUAAGAGCUUGCUCUUACGGGUGGCGAGUGGCGGACGGGUGAGGAAUACAUCGGAAUCUACUUUUUCGUGGGGGAUAACGUAGGGAAACUUACGCUAAUACCGCAUACGACCUACGGGUGAAAGCAGGGGAUCUUCGGACCUUGCGCGAUUGAAUGAGCCGAUGUCGGAUUAGCUAGUUGGCGGGGUAAAGGCCCACCAAGGCGACGAUCCGUAGCUGGUCUGAGAGGAUGAACAGCCACAAUGGAAGUGAGACACGGUCCAGACUCCUACGGGAGGCAGAAGUGGGGAAUAUUGGGCAAUGGGCGCAAGCCUGAUCCAGCCAUACCGCGUGGGUGAAGAAGGCCUUCGGGUUGUAAAGCCCUUUUGUUGGGAAAGAAAAGCAGCAGGUUAAUACCCCGCUGUUCUGACGGUACCCAAAGAAUAAGCACCGGCUAACUUCGUG